UACGUAGGGAGCAAGCGUUAUCCGGAAUUAUUGGGUGUAAAGGGUGCGUAGAUGGGAAUACAAGUUGGUUGUGAAAUCCCCAGGCUUAACUUGGGAACUGCAACCAAAACUAUAUUUCUUGAGUGCAGGAGAGGAAAGCGGAAUUCCUAGUGUAGCGGUGAAAUGCGUAGAUAUUAGGAGGAACACCAGUGGCGAAGGCGGCUUUCUGGACUGUAACUGACAUUGAGGCACGAAAGUGUGGGGAGCAAAC
rnacentral:rRNA from 1 species